AGCGAACGUUAGCGGCGGGCCUAACACAUGCAAGUCGAACGCGAAAGGUCUUCGGACUGAGUAGAGUGGCGCACGGGUGAGUAACACGUAGGUAAUCUACCCUUUGGCGGGGGAUAACGUUCCGAAAGGAGCGCUAAUACCGCAUAAGACCGCGGAGUCUCCGGACGCUGUGGGAAAAGGUGGCCUCUUCUUGAAAGCUACCACCGAAGGAUGAGCCUGCGUCCCAUCAGCUAGUUGGUAAGGUAAUGGCUUACCAAGGCGAAGACGGGUAGCUGGUUUGAGAGAAUGAUCAGCCACACUGGCACUGGAACACGGGCCAGACUCCUACGGGAGGCAGCAGUGAGGAAUAUUGGGCAAUGGGCGAAAGCCUGACCCAGCCACGCCGCGUGAGUGAUGAAGGCCCUCGGGUCGUAAAGCUCUGUGGAGAGGGACGAAAAACCCUGGUUUCAAAUAGGCUCCAGGCUUGACGGUACCC
rnacentral:rRNA from 1 species